GACAGAGGAUGCAAGCGUUAUCCGGAAUGAUUGGGCGUAAAGCGUCUGUAGGUGGCUUUUCAAGUCCGCCGUCAAAUCCCAGGGCUCAACCCUGGACAGGCGGUGGAAACUACCAAGCUGGAGUACGGUAGGGGCAGAGGGAAUUUCCGGUGGAGCGGUGAAAUGCAUUGAGAUCGGAAGGAACGCCCGUGGCGAAAGCGGGGUCCUGGACGCCAACUGACGCUGAGGCGCGAAAGCCAGGGGAGCGAACGGG
rnacentral:rRNA from 1 species